rnacentral:rRNA from 1 species
UACGGAGGAUCCAAGCGUUAUCCGGAUUUAUUGGGUUUAAAGGGUGCGUAGGCGGUUUAAUAAGUCAGUGGUGAAAUCUUGCAGCUUAACUGUAAAAUUGCCAUUGAUACUGUUAGACUUGAGUAUAGUUGAGGUGGGCGGAAUGUGUUGUGUAGCGGUGAAAUGCAUAGAUAUAACACAGAACACCAAUUGCGAAGGCAGCUCACUAAGCUAUAACUGACGCUGAGGCACGAAAGCGUGGGUAGCGAACAGG